rnacentral:rRNA from 1 species
ACCUGCCCCAUAGUCUGGGAUACCACUUGGAAACAGGUGCUAAUACCGGAUAAGAAAGCAGAUCGCAUGAUCAGCUUUUAAAAGGCGGCGUAAGCUGUCGCUAUGGGAUGGCCCCGCGGUGCAUUAGCUAGUUGGUAAGGUAAAGGCUUACCAAGGCGAUGAUGCAUAGCCGAGUUGAGAGACUGAUCGGCCACAUUGGGACUGAGACACGGCCCAAACUCCUACGGGAGGCAGCAGGG